UACAGGGGGUGCAAACGUUGCUCGGAAUCAUUGGGCGUAAAGCGCACGUAGGCGGUUCGUUAUGUCGGAUGUGAAAGCCCUUGGCUUAACCGAGGAAGUGCAUCCGAAACUGGCGAGCUAGAGUACGAAAGAGGAUCGCGGAAUUCCCGGUGUAGAGGUGAAAUUCGUAGAUAUCGGGAGGAACACCAGUGGCGAAGGCGGCGAUCUGGGUCGAUACUGACGCUGAGGUGCGAAAGCGUGGGGAGCAAACAGG
rnacentral:rRNA from 1 species